rnacentral:rRNA from 1 species
UUAGGAAUAUUGGACAAUGGACGAAAGUCUGAUCCAGCCAUGCCGCGUGAGCGAUGAAGGCCUUCGGGUUGUAAAGCUCUUUAGUCCACGAAUAUAAUGACUGUAGUGGAAGAAUAAGCCCCGGCUAACUUCGUGCCAGCAGCCGCGGUAAUACGAAGGGGGCGAGCGUUGUUCGGAAUCACUGGGCGUAAAGAGUGCGUAGGCGGUUAUGAAAGUUAGAAGUGAAAGCCCCAGGCUCAACUUGGGAAUUGCUUUUAAAACUACAUGACUCGAAUUCGGGAGAGGAUAGCGGAAUUGUCAGUGUAGCAGUGAAAUGCGUAGAUAUUGACAGGAACACCGGUGGCGUAAGCGGCUAUCUGGACCGACAUUGACGCUGAGGCACGAAAGCGUGGGGAUCAAACAGG